GUUGGUGGUGGUGAUGGUGGUACAAUGUCAUUAUUUGCAGAUAGUAGCAUAUGUGUAUCUAAAAUUCACUAUAACUAUUACAGCGCCUAAUGUAAGCGGAUUUAAAAUGCAGCAGAGUAGCCUGUUCUCAAAUGAUUACAUUACAUGUCUUAUUUGGCAGAUGGCUAUGACAGUCCUGGGAACACUGGAGCAGGCUCUUGGCCCCAGAGCUGUGCUAAAGAGGGCUUUGUCUGUUUCUUCACACAUCCUCCAGCAAUAUGUUGGUCAUCUGGUGUUGGAGUGAACCUUAGCUGGAAUAUAACCAGUUUUUCAGCUAACUGAUUUCCAUUAGAUUGUGUCAUUUCCACAAAAAAAAUCUGAUAUGAAUGAAAGAAAAAAAUAUGGGAGAAACUUGAUGGUUUAAUGGAUCUGGGAAGAGACACAAAACUUACCUGAAGCUUACUGACCUACAGUGAGAGGGCACUCGGCUCACUGGACCGUAAGUGACACUCAGCUCUCCAUGUUUACAAUAACCACCUAUUUCAGCCUCUUUGCAGGGAUUUACUUUCUUUGAAUGGACCUUGAGCGCUUCCUUGACUUCCUUUGUCCAGGGUGCUAAAGUACUGUCCAUAGUGCUGAAAUAUAGGCUUGAAAGGCAGAGUGAAGUCUGCAGCAGUGCAUUUGGUCCUGUUUCAUCACGUCAGGGAUUCUGUUGUGGUUUACUUAGAAGACUCAGUUGGAGGAGCUGGAGAAAAGUUCAAAAAACACUUUCAGUGAAGAUCUGUAUGAUUACACAACAGGCUUGAGCACAAGUGAGCUUUCUUUAGCAAGCUGACACAUUGAGAGGGAAUUUGCAUAAAAUGAGGACAGAGGAGGUAAGUAAGCAGGUAAGGUUAGCAGACGCGCUGCAAACCAUUUAUGAGCUAAGAGGCUUGUGCAACACUACUGCUCUGUGUAGUUCAACAGUCUAGCAAUGAGUGGAGAGGAGAGCGAGGUUUAAAUACUGCAGGUGAAUGACAAAUGAGACACAGGUGCGGCAGCAGGCGUCCUGGACAGCGACGCCCACUUCUGGGAGGAGGUAAGUGCAGUCAACCACACUCACGAUAGAGAGAGGAAAAUAGAGCAAGUAGAGGAGAGAAACAGAGAUGGUGGAUUCACACUGGAAAGGACACGGGGGACUGUGACAGAUGCCUGAUGACAUGAUGUCAUUUUGUUUGUCACUGGUGUUCGCUAAAUCUUUAUAAAUUCUAUCAAUUUCUCACAGUUACCUUGAAAGAACAAAAAAGUGAUUUUUGGCUGCUCCUUUAUUCACAUGGGGUUGCCACAGCGGGUAGCUCUGCAUGUCUGAUUUGGCAGAUUUUUACACAGGAUGCAACCCCAAAGGGAUUUGUGUCUCCUCCUAGCAUCGAACUGGGGAUGUUUCACUUGUUAGGCAAACGUGUAAACCACAGCAUAUGCAAUUUGGCACCGAUUAUACUGGAAAAGUGACAGUUGAUGAGGUUUUUCCUGUUUUCAAUGCAAUACUAGAAACUCUGAUUAACAAAAAUGUAACACAAGGAAUAUGAACUGCAAACACUGUCUUUUCACAUAGCAUAAAAUAAUACUAAUCAAGGUUCUGUAAGUGCAAAAUGAAAAGGAAAUCUCACCCAGAGACACACUCCGGGGCAUGAUCAACCCUGGCAGGGCCUCCUUGGAUGAGGGUGUCUAGUGAUAAUGGCCGAAACACCCGAUGAAUCCAAGGUCAACUACUGACGAUGUGUCCCACAUUUUAAUAUGAUAAUCUAGAUCAGAUCUCUAAUCCCUAAACCUAACCAAGGAAGGAAAAAAAUGGCGCAUUAGCUUGGGGAGAAGACCGAAAGUUGAGGCACACAACGAUGUGUCCCACUGGUAAAGUUUCUGGGCUUCCUUUCCUCAUAAUAGCCAUCCCUCAAGACUUUCUAAAUUUGAAACAAUGGUCUAAGGAGCCAAAGACACAAAGACAAAAGACAAAAAGUUUAUCAAGGAAGAGUUAAAAAGUGUGGUAGCUGGUUGAUAUGUAGUAAGUAGAAACGAGAGAGUUAUCCCUACCCAUUAAAAAUAAUCAGAACCACAGUUUAAACCAGUUUGACAGGUCGUGAGUUGAAAUUCAUGACCUAAUUGCCUACUGUGUGUGUGUGUGUGUGUGUGUGUGUGUGUGUGUGUGUGUGUGUGUGAGAGAGUGUGUGAGUGGGGACUGGGUAGGUGGGGUAACGAUUGGGCAUACUGGUGUAGUGUGGGGAAAAGAAUGAUUAAAUGAGCAGAUGUUAGGCGAGCUAUACAUUGGUGUGAAAAAGUGUUUGUGUCCUUCCUGACUGGAUACAUCUAGGGUACUGUUACUAGGUUACAUCAAAGGUAGAAGACAUUACUGUAUAUUUAGGGCGACAAUGCUGAUUCGAUUCACUCAUACAAGUUGUAGCAUAAAUUAACUGUGUUGUAUCACAUCUUUGGAAAGCUGAGGCCUGAUUACUGCCAAACAUGUUCAUCUGUGACUGAAUCUAAUCAGCAUCACCUUAUAAAUAAAUUGAUGUCUUCUACCGUUGAUGUAACAUAGUAACAAUACCCUAGGUGUAUGCAGUCAAGCACAGUGCGUCACUGUAAACUUUGCAACAAUACUGCAAACUAAAGAAAACUAGAAUUUGUUUUUAUGACUUGUCACUAAAAUAUAAUCCAGCAAAACAUCAUGAAUAGAUCCAAUAUCUGAUUUUAAAACUUUAAAAUAAAUGAGGACGUUGCACAUGAGAGUUAAAUUUCCUGUCUAUAAAAUUUCACAUGCUGAGUGCUCCUCGCCUUUAAAAAUAACCUUUCUCCUUAAUCUCCUGUCCUCUCUUUCUUACAUUUUCCUCCAUCUAUCUGUGUCACACAUUAACAUUUUUUUCCUGGUAAAUAUAACGACUGUACAUUUAGCUCAAAGACACAUUUUGUGAUAAAUUGUACAAAUUUCCGGACAUUUGUUAAAUUCUUAUUUAAAUAUCAUUUGAAAUUUACGUCUGCACCAUGAACACAUCACAGGUGUGAGGAAAAACGUAUGUAAUGAUGGUGUAAGCAGGCUGCAGGGUGUCUUAUUUUCUUAUUUUUGAGCAAGUGUCUCCGUGUGGAGAUACUGGAAGCAGUACCAGGCUCAGCACAGGAAAAAUUAACUCAUUCAGCAGUAAUAUGCCUUAACCUGCUUAUCAAAUUUAAUUACACAUUAACUGAAAGUGCCAGAUCGCUGCUCCAGGAGGAUUCCGGCCCUCUUUAACCCCUGAUGAUAACACAUUUUUAUCAUAGCCCAAAGCCAAAUAUUUUCCAGGGACUUUCUUUCAUAAAGUUCAUAAAGUACGAAGAUGUUGAGUUUUGAUUGUUCUUAACUUCUAAUGAUGGUUAAAGACCAAGGCAAGACCUUUUUCAUGUUUAUCUGCUCUUUCAAAGGAUAAAAGCCUACAAAACAGCCUAUUUCUACAUUUCAUGUGUUCGUAGAAGUUUCUGGAAAUGAGUCAUGAGAUAAAGUGCGGGAAAAUCAUUGGAAGCAUAACUGCUAUUUGGAGUAGUCUACUUUGUUUUAAUUCACUGUGAAUCUUUCUUGCAUGAAAUACCUCAAGGACACCUUUAUCCAGCUCCCACCCACAGAUCUGCUCUCUCCCUGUCUCACAAUACUCAAGGUAAUUUAUAUAAUACAUUGCAAAACCAUUUAUCAUUUUUAAGAGGAGACAGGAACAAGGCAGCAACAUCAAAGGGCUACAAGAUGUUUUGUGGUAAUAAAAGAACUUUGAGUCAGAUUAGUAUCUCCUGUCUUGCAAUUUUAAAAGCAAUAGGAGAAGUAAACAUGAGGCAUUCUUAUAUGCAACCAUAGCAGCUCAGGCACUGAUGCUAAUCUCUUUCAGGAAUGUGAAAGUCAAAGCGAUUCGAGUUUUGUCAAGAUUCUCACAGCUGGACUUCAGCUCAGUCUUUAUUUUGAUUUGAAAUGACAGAAUGACACUCAUAGCAUUCAUGCACUUUGUUUUACAUUUAAACUUGAAGCUUUUCUUGCUAAACAAGCAUUUAACCAGAUAAACACUGCACUCCACUGAAGCAUCUAAAAAAAAACAGAAACAGGGAAAUAAAAAACAGCCUACAUCAGUAAAUCAUAAGAAACAUAGACUAAAUUAUGAUCUUGAGUGGGCUUUUAAUACAGUUAACUGCGCAGCGACUUUUAUUAUUUGCAAGAUAACUUUAAUAAAAAUGCUCUAAAAAAGACCAACACCACAUCCUGUUCAAUUCAUGGUUCAAUUCAAUUCACAAGUGGCCUCUCUAGCCAGUUCAUCACCAUUAUGUUAUAAGAAUAUGAAAAAAAUUGCAAAAUGUUUAAUAGGAAAAAAAAAAUCAAAAUCAAAAGUUCAGAUAAUCUGAAUAUAAAUGUCCUUAAAAAUAAAUAUGAAGAAACUUUUGAUAACAAAAACCCCUAAACAAAAUAUAUAAAAACAGACUGUCUGGCUGUUUUUUCUCCUCUUCCUCUUUUGACUUAUUUCUUUUUCACUCCCAAAAGGAUAACUCCUCAUUAUUUCAAAGUGUCUGUCCUUGUUGCCAUUAGGUUUACUUAAACAGGAUUGUGUACACCACAUGCAAUGGGAGCAAGUGGAGUCAGGUUGGGCCCCUUUAGGGAGAUCAGGCCUCUUCUACUGUCACUGCAAACUUUGCCCAUUUCCACUGCUGCUUUUUGAAGUCUGUCAACCCUCUGGGGCUCCCCACUGGUCUGGGGCCCCAAGCAAUUGCCUAGUGGCAAGUGGCACCUCUGGGUAUAACACGUCUUUGAUAAAAAGUCUUUCUGUCAAUAAGAAAACCAUAAAAGGUAAGGCAGGGUUAUAUAAAGGGUAAUAAAAAACAUAAAAAGCUGUUUAUCUAUCUGUGUGUUUGUCUGUAUGUGUGAUUGGCAAGACAGUAGUUUAUGUAAGGUCAGGCUGUCAGAAGAAAAAUAAAUAAAUAAAUAAAAACACAGAGUAAUGCUCUAUGAAAUUUCGUAAGGAUGAUCUCCUUGCUGGUGAAAAAAACCAUGAUGGAAAAACUGUAGCUAUCAACAAUGUUUAUCUCGUCUUUAUACACAUUUUCACACGUUACUGCCAUCCUAGACUAACACUGUCUGAUUUUGUAAGAAUGCAGAUGUCCACGCAGCUGAAUCAGACAUUAAAUGAUCUUCAAACUCUUCAAACUGCCAGCUUCCCAAUGCAAGUUUUUGUUAUGCUCAACAGCGCCCAUGUAUGAAUAGCGCAGGUAAUUUUUCAGUGAAUUCACAGCGGGCAUUAUUUGCGCUGCCACCUGCACACCCUACCCAGGCGGCACACUAAACCAAACAGAUUAUUUCCAGCGGUGAAAAGUGUCGUGUGCUACAGAUAAAAACUUUGGAGUAUUUCCCAGCUUGACUCUUCCGACAUCAUCGUGUUCAUCUGUGAAAUGACUUAUGUCAAGAUAACAUACUGUCUCACCUGUCCAGUCUCCAGGAUGACCCGCCGGAUUUCAUUAAGGAUCGUCCAACAACCGUGAAAGUGUCAACGAAUAAUUGAUGUCGUGGGAUGGGGGUUACUGAAGCCAUAUAUCAUCUGAUCUCAACCAACUUCCCUUUUUUAUUACAGUGCAUAAUGGGCUGUUAAGCAGCAGCACAUGAAUUAAGACUGUCUGCAGAAAUGCUCACUGUAUUUGUAAUCGAUGUUCUUAAAUACACUUAAAGAUUAGGAGUGAUUUUUUCAUGUCAUAUUACCACACUUUUCAUGAAUUAAGAAGUAGAUACAUUGUCCUUUUAGAUAAUCAUCAUGUUUCAGCUUUUUUCCUACAUCAGUUUUUUCUGCGACUCCUUAGGUAAAUUGCCUACUCAGUCACAACAUAUAUGUAAAGCAGCUGUUUAUACUUCGAAAUGCCAUCCACGGUUGCAGUCCUCCGGUGCAAGGUCUUUUUCUGCUGUGCCAGCAUCCCUGAGACUGCCAUUAAAUGGAGCUGAGCUGCUGGAAAUUAUCUCCUCCUUCUGCUGAUGAACUAAUUGUACUCUUAUUCUGUAAUAACACCAUUAAAAUGUAAUACA